CCGUGUAGACACAGACGUGUCAGAGCACAUCAGAGAACACAGACAAAAACGCAUUUGGAGCCUUUCUCAUCCUGGGCCUCACUCUGCCACUGUUCUGGCUGAUUCUCCUCCGACCACGUGAGUCGGCGUGCACCUGGCAGGUGAGGCUGGGCAGCCUGGAGAGGCAGGAGGAGCAGCCAGUGAGAGGACCCAGAGCACACCAGGCAGCAACACGGGGCUACCCUGCAGAAGCUCAUCUUGGACUCCACCCAGCCACGCUCCUGUAGGAACCUAAAAGAACUGGAGGCGUCUAUAAGGUUUUGUCAUCUAGACGUAGCUGGGGACAGAGAACAGGAGCAGUCACGGAGCUGUAAAGCUGCUGCUUCAACACACCUGUUUUCUUCCACCCUACCACCUGCUCGCUCUUGAGUUCUCUCCUGGGUAAAGCCACUGCCCUUCGAAGGCUAAGACCUAAUUUGAGGCUCACCUGUGCUGCACCACCAGGAAAACCAGGGACCAAUGGCGGAGACUCUCUGGGUGCAGCCAUCCUCAAGCCUUCACCCUACUCUCCGCCCUCCUGCUCAGGCAGCCUCCCUUGGAUGCAUCCACAGUCAGCCCCGUCCCCGGAAGCCUGGCCUCCAACCCACAUCGGCUUUACCUCCCAACUUGAACAUCUGUCAUGCUUCCCCCAAAACACCUUGAUUUGUUUUUUUUUCCUGAAUAUGUAUCUCUUUUUUUAAAUUGCAUUUUAGGUUUUGGGGUACAUCUAAAGAACAUGCAAGAUGGUUGCAUAGGUACACACGUGGCAGUGUGAUUUGCUGCCUUCCUCCCCUUCACCUCUAUCUGGCACUUCUCCCCAUGCUCUCUCUCCCCAGCUCCCCGCUCCCUGCUGUCCCUCCCCAUUCCCCCGACAGACCCCAGUGUGUAGUAGCGGGAGUGCUGGCUUCAGCAGCACAUAUACUAAAAUUGGAAUGAUAAAGAGAUUAGCGUGGCCCCUGGGCAAGGAUGACACGCUUGAUUUGUUUUCAAGAGAAAUUCUGAGCCUACUUGUUAAUAAAAUGCCCGUUCUGCUUC